GACGAACGCUGGCGGCGUGCUUAACACAUGCAAGUCGAACGGUGAAGCGCUUGCCUUUUUGGUGGGUGUGGAUGAGUGGCGAACGGGUGAGUAACACGUGAGUAACCUGCCCUCUUCUUCUGGAUAACCUCAUGAAAGUGGGGCUAAUACGGGGUAUUCCGGGUCUGUCGCAUGGCGGGUUUGGGAAAGAUUGCGCCUUUGGGUGUUUUCGGUGGGGGAUGGGCUCGCGGCCUAUCAGCUUGUUGGUGGGGUGAUGGCCUACCAAGGCGGUGACGGGUAGCCGGCCUGAGAGGGUGGACGGCCACACUGGGACUGAGACACGGCCCAGACGCCUGCGGGAGGCAGCAGUGGGGAAUAUUGCACAAUGGGCGCAAGCCUGAUGCAGCGACGCCGCGUGAGGGAUGGAGGCCGUCGGGUGGGGAACCUCUUUCGCCAGGGAAGCAGGCCUGCUCCUGUGUGGGUGGGUUGACGGUAGCUGGAUAAGAAGCGCCGGCUAACUACGUG
rnacentral:rRNA from 1 species